AUUGAACGCUGGCGGCAGGCUUAACACAUGCAAGCUGAGCGGGGAUAGGGUGCUUGCACCUGAUUCCUAGCGGCGGACGGGUGAGUAAUGCUUAGGAAUCUGCCUAUUAGUGGGGGACAACAUUCCGAAAGGGAUGCUAAUACCGCAUACGCCCUACGGGGGAAAGCAGGGGACCUUCGGACCUUGCGCUAAUAGAUGAGCCUAAGUCGGAUUAGCUAGUUGGUGGGGUAAAGGCCUACCAAGGCGACGAUCUGUAGCGGGUCUGAGAGGAUGAUCCGCCACACUGGGACUGAGACACGGCCCAGACUCCUACGGGAGGCAGCAGUGGGGAAUAUUGGACAAUGGGGGGAACCCUGAUCCAGCCAUGCCGCGUGUGUGAAGAAGGCCUUUUGGUUGUAAAGCACUUUAAGCGAGGAGGAGGCGCUCUAGGAUAAUACCCUAGAUGCGUGGACGUUACUCGCAGAAUAAGCACCGGCUAACUCUGUGCCAGCCGCCGCCGUAACAC
rnacentral:rRNA from 1 species